CGCCCCUACGGGACGCAGCAGUGAGGAAUAUUGGUCAAUGGCCGCAGGGCUGAACCAGCCAAGUAGCGUGAAGGAUGACUGCCCUAUGGGUUGUAAACUUCUUUUAUAUGGGAAUAAAACAGGGUAUGCAUACCCUCUUGUAUGUACCAUAUGAAUAAGGAUCGGCUAACUCCGUGCCAGCAGCCGCGGUAAUACGGAGGAUCCGAGCGUUAUCCGGAUUUAUUGGGUUUAAAGGGAGCGUAGGUGGAUUGUUAAGUCAGUUGUGAAAGUUUGCGGCUCAACCGUAAAAUUGCAGUUGAAACUGG
rnacentral:rRNA from 1 species